UACGGGGGGAGCAAGCGUUGUUCGGAUUUACUGGGCGUAAAGGGCGCGUAGGCGGUCAGCACAAGUCAGUUGUGAAAUCUCCGGGCUUAACUCGGAAAGGUCAACUGAUACUGUGCGACUAGAGUGCGGAAGGGGCAACUGGAAUUCUUGGUGUAGCGGUGAAAUGCGUAGAUAUCUGGAGGAACACCGGUGGCGAAGGCGGCAUCCUGGACCAACACUGACGCUGAGUGAGCGAAAGCCAGGGGAGCAAAC
rnacentral:rRNA from 1 species